rnacentral:rRNA from 1 species
GACGAACGCUGGCGGCGUGCCUAAUACAUGCAAGUUGAGCGAUGAAGAUUGGUGCUUGCACCAAUUUGAAGAGCAGCGAACGGGUGAGUAACGCGUGGGGAAUCUGCCUUUGAGCGGGGGACAACAUUUGGAAACGAAUGCUAAUACCGCAUAAUAACUUUAAACAUAAGUUUUAAGUUUGAAAGAUGCAAUUGCAUCACUGAAAGAUGAUCCCGCGUUGUAUUAGCUAGUUGGUGAGGUAAAGGCUCACCAAGGCGAUGAUACAUAGCCGACCUGAGAGGGUGAUCGGCCACAUUGGGACUGAGACACGGCCCAAACUCCUACGGGAGGCAGCAGUAGGGAAUCUUCGGCAAUGGACGAAAGUCUGACCGAGCAACGCCGCGUGAGUGAAGAAGGUUUUCGGAUCGUAAAACUCUGUUGGUAGAGAAGAACGUUGGUGAGAGUGGAAAGCUCAUCAAGUGACGGUAACUACCCAGAAAGGGACGGCUAACUACGU